UUGCUUCAGCAGCACAUGUUGUAAAACUGGAACAAUACAAAGAAGAUUAUUAGCAUGGCCCCUGUUCAAGGAUGAUACACAAAUUCAUGAAGCAUUCCAUAUUUUU
rnacentral:snRNA from 1 species